ACUGCAGUACUCCAGACUCCCCCCAGCAGGGUUUUGUAGUGAGCCAGACAGGAGGGCAUCUCAACAGUGUGGUGCGUUGGGGCUGUGACCGGGGCUACCGGCUUAUUGGAAAGGCCACAGCUGUCUGUAAGAAGACGGCCUUUGGGUAUUAUACCUGGGACUCAACGGUACCUGCAUGUCAAGCCGUGGCGUGUGGCGUGCCCACAGCGCCGCUGAAUGGAGGCGUCCAGGCUGUUGAUUACUCCGUGGCAGCACGGUUAACCUACUUCUGCAACAACGGCUUCAGGCUCUCCUCCAAGGAUCUCACCACUACCGUCUGCCAGCCUGACGGCACAUGGAGCAACCACAACAAGAUACCUCGCUGCCCAGUGGUUGUCUGCCCCAGUCUGGGCUCCUUCUCUCUGGACCACGGGAAGUGGUCGAUCGUCAACGGGUCCAGCUAUGAGUUCAGAACCAAGGUGGUCUUCAGCUGUAACCCGGGUUACUACCGGCUCGGUCCCGCUCACAUCCAGUGCCUGGCCAAUGGGGCGUGGAGCUGGC